CCUACGGGCGGCAGCAGUGGGGAAUAUUGGGCAAUGGGCGCAAGCCUGAUCCAGCAACGCCGCGUGAAGGAAGAAGGCUUUCGGGUUGUAAACUUCUUUUCUCAGGGACGAAGCAAGUGACGGUACCUGAGGAAUAAGCCACGGCUAACUACGUGCCAGCAGCCGCGGUAAUACGUAGGUGGCAAGCGUUAUCCGGAUUUACUGGGUGUAAAGGGCGUGUAGGCGGGACUGCAAGUCAGAUGUGAAAACCACGGGCUCAACCUGUGGACUGCAUUUGAAACUGUAGUUCUUGAGUGCUGGAGAGGCAGGCGGAAUUCCUGGUGUAGCGGUGAAAUGCGUAGAUAUUAGGAGGAACACCGGUGGCGAAGGCGGUCUGCUGGACAGCAACUGACGCUGAGGCGCGAAAGCGUGGGGAGCAAACAGGAUUAGAUACCCGUGUAGUC
rnacentral:rRNA from 1 species